UGCCACUCUGAAAGGAUCUUUUUCUGGAGAUCCUUCCUUUGUGGAGUUUCCUCUGUGAACCUAGAUCCUCAGAGACAGGCAAUUGAAUAAUUUGGGAUCUUGCUCAAAAGCAUCCUCUUUCUUCUGUGAUUCUCAUGGAGACUGUAAUGGCCACUCACUCCAGUCGCGCUCACCGCUCUCUUGCUGUGCAUUUCAGGACAAAGCUGGGGAAGAAUGUGGUGUAACACCAGCCAGCUCUCAUUACUGCUAAAGGAAUGUGGUGUGAUUAAACCUCUAUACGGAAAAAAAUGGAAUGUAAUUCUUACAUGUUGAUUUGCCUUGAAUGCAUGCCACCUGCUGAGGAAUGAGUUUCCAGUGUAUUCUUCAAUUUUUAAAGAUUCAGAGGGCCUCGCUUCCAAAAAAUUAACUAUCCUCUUCUGAAAACGAGGACUAUUUGGUUAAGGACAUUUGUUCACAUUUUCCAGUGUCCAAAACCAUCAAAUCCUUUGAGAACUAACUAUCUGUGAACACAAAGCCUUCUUUUUCUUCCUAUUGGGAAAUUCAAGUGUCAAAGCCCUUUUCUGUGAAGCCAUAGAACAAAAUAAGUUUCUGUAUUUUUUUACAUAUUUCUUCAAAAGUUUCACUAAUAUAUUACCAACCGUUAAAACCAUUACAAACCGUUAAAACCUUCCGGAGUCCUCUACAGAUGCCUGAGCUCACUCUGUUUCUAUAUAACCCUUGAGACUGCAUCUCAGCUGCUAACUUCUGGCUGAAGACUGGAUGGGACUCCCUCCUGAGUCCAGCAGCAAGCUGUCAUCCAAAAAGUGAGCUGUGGGGUGAUGCAAGACACUCCCUUCCCUCCGGAUCUGAGCGAGCUACCUCAUCUUGAAAGGAUUUGUUGCUCAAUGAUAUCAGCUUAGAGUGAAAUACAGAUCACUUGUCAGCAGUUAAUGAUAAUAUUUACUUGCUUACCUCACAAGAUCAGCUCUCUAAAGUGUGAAACCUCUGCUCACCCUUGAAACUGAACUGUAUAAACUCAGAAUUUACUGUAAACUCUUGGCUUGUAAAACCUAAAGCAGGAUCAGUGAGAUAUCUAUUCCAUUAUUCUGAGAAUACUUUCAGAACUUGGGGGAUAACACUGGCACAAGAAACUCAUUGGAUCAUAACAGUAAUGUGGAAUUCUUUUGUUGGAAAAGUAGCCCUUUCAAUCAUCAGG